rnacentral:lncRNA from 1 species
GAGUGAGGAUCCAUUGUUGGCCACCCGCAUAUGUUGUAGCGUGCGCCUGAAUUCAGAGCAAUAACAAAUUUAUACUACAGUAAUGCCAAUAUAGCAAUUUCGGUAGUCCAUGCUCUCAGAGGUUCCAAUAGGUCAGGUGACCAAAACGUUGUCGGGCCUUAUAUUCAUUCAGACGAUGCACACCCAAAAUUGUCAAUCUUUUGUGAAUGGUGAAUGAAGUGAUGACAAAGCUUCAGGGGCUAUGCAGCUUGGCGGUAUACGUACGUCAGCCAAUCGAUAGCUCAGGCUAGAAGAAGUUGUCGCCUGUUCCCCUGAGGCAGCCCUAGAGGCCGUCUCGGUACUGACUGUUUCCAAAUUCAUGUUCAAUUAGCAGGAGGCAUCCUGCCUGGUGCUUUGAGGAAGGCCUCAAGGGGACCUUUCUCU